GUGUCAGCAGCCGCGGUAAUACAGAGGGUGCGAGCGUUAAUCGGAAUUACUGGGCGUAAAGGGCGCGUAGGCGGUUAAUUAAGUUAGAUGUGAAAUACCUGGGCUUAACCUGGGACUGGCAUUUAAUACUGGUUAGCUAGAGUAGAAUAGAGGGAAGUGGAAUUUCCAGUGUAGCGGUGAAAUGCGUAGAUAUUGGAAGGAACACCGGUGGCGAAGGCGGCUUCCUGGAUUCAUACUGACGCUGAGGCGCGAAAGCAUGGGGAGGAAACAGGAUUAGAUACCCCCGUAGUCC
rnacentral:rRNA from 1 species